AUUGAACGCUGGCGGCAGGCCUAACACAUGCAAGUCGAGCGGAGCGGCGGACGGGUGAGUAAUGCAUCGGAAUCUGCAUGGUAGUGGGGGAUAACGUCCGGUAACGGGCGCUAAUACCGCAUACUCUACGAGGAGCAUAGGUCGGAGUAGCUAGUGGGUGGGGUAACGGCAUACAAAGGCGACGAUCCGUAACUGGUCUGAGAGGAUGAUCAGUCACACUGGAACUGAGACACGGUCCAGACUCCUACGGGAGGCAGCAGUGGGGAAUAUUGGACAAUGGGCGAAAGCCUGAUCCAGCCAUGCCGCGUGUGUGAAGAAGGUCUUCGGAUUGUAAAGCACUUUAAGUUGGGAGGCGUUACCAACAGAAUAAGCACCGGCUAACUUCGUGCCAGCAGCCGCGGUAAUAC
rnacentral:rRNA from 1 species